AAAAUGAAAGAGCAGUUAAGUAUAUUUAGGACACUUUAUUGAAAGUGUUUUCCAAUCAAUGACUUUAUUUAUUUAUUUUUUUAAAUAGGGUGAAUCUUUGAAGUGAGUCAGCUGCAGCUUCGCUCUCCUAUAAUUGAAGAGAGAGAGAAUUACAGAGAAAGAGGCCAGGCACUCUUUCCUCCAGACAAAGCUGUGGAAAUUUGAUG
rnacentral:lncRNA from 1 species